AGGUUCUUCUGUUUGCCUUGGGUGCUCUUUCAAAGUCUUGCCAUCAAGCCAUCUCCAAGGAAGAUCCCAACGCUGCUGGUGCUAUUCUGGAUUUGCUAUCCUCUGCAUGCACAAAAAGGGACAAGAAAUACUGGGAAGCGGUACUUUUAAGCCUCGAUCAGUUUAGGCACUUCUGAUAAAUCUGGACAAGCACAUUCAGCAAAUGCUUCUGCUUAAUCAGACUAUGAUGGAAAAGAAGAUUCUUCUGUUCCACUAGAAAAAGUACUGGACUGUAUCCCAUCAUGUAUCCAUGUGGCAUAUAUUGAUGAUAUUCUUGAAAAGAAAAAUAACUUGGAGCACCUCUGGAUUGCCUCUCUCUCACCUGAGUUGUCAUGGACUGUCAAAAUAUCGGCUUUUCUAUCAAUUAAGGGACUCUGCUCAAGGAUUCAUGACAUUUUGCUUGAUUCUCAGCAAGCUUCUCAACAUGCAAAUGCAGCAUCUUUGUUUCGUGACAUAAUUAGUAUCCACUUUCUAACAAUAUUGCUGAGGAACAGGGUAACUAAGGGAUGAUAUCUCUAACUUUGGUUAAGGAAAACAGCUUUCCUUUAUUAUGACGGACAUGUUGCACUUACCGGCUUUAGAAUCAGUUGUCAUUCUGUUCUCCAAAUUCCUUAUCUGGAUUCUGAUCAUCUGUUUUUCCUACGCAAGUUUAAGCUGUUUUCUUCGAUGUUACCCAAAGUGGCAGACUGCAUAGCCACAGUUAAGAUAGCACAGGUUCAUGUCAGUGCUUCAGAGUGCCUUUUGGGGAUGAUCACCCUUUGUAGGGAGCUUCCUUCAACGUUCUGGACAGAUGCAGGUUCGAAGGGUUUGCUGGUUCAUCUACGUGAGGUGGAAAAAAAUGAACAAGCCAAGUCCUUGCUUAAGAGAUGCAUCCAUUUACUAGAGACUUCUUAGAGGAAAAUGUGAAAGCGAGUUGAUUUCGAAGAAGGGUGAGUAGAGAGUUGUAGCCACUGCAGGUGAAGUAUGAUAAAUGGGUAAAAUCAGUAAAAAGCUGAAGUGAGGAAGUAAAUAUAAAAUGGGUAAUGAUCGAUCUUGACUGUUUGGUGAAUCAAGGCUAACACCGCCUUAGCAACCUUUUGGAUAAACUAAAAUGUUCGACCAAAGGAAGAAGCAAGAAUUAAGCAAGCAAAAGAAGAGCUUAGCUAGACAUGUUUUAGGAAGUACACACGUUGGCC